ACUUCCUGUUAUCUUAACGUUACCUUCGAUCUGGUGAUGGGAAGCUGUCUGCUGAGAUAAGACGAUACGUUGGAAUCAUACCCAAACCCAUCAACACAAUAAGGGAUGUGCGACUGUAGCUGAUGUUGAGUCUUCCAAGCCUACCUGUGACGCCUCGCCUGAUAUUACUAGGUGAACGACAAGGUAAUCAUCAAAAGUGGAUGGUCAGCAUUGAAUCCUUAAUCGUUUGUGAAGGGUCCAACCUCGCCACAUUUCUAACAGGGAUUGCGACAUGUUUCUCCACCUUCUAUAUUCUGAAUCUGCAAUAUCAGGAGGAGGCAGCGUGCACCCUUGAAUUCUUCCAGAGAAAAAGGCCCAGAAGAAGCCUAAGAACAAUCACUAAUAAGUAAAGUGAAUGUUACUUGAUUUCUCAUGAAUGUUACUUGAUUCCCUCCCUGAUUAUCAUUUAUACUCAUCUCUUACUUUAAAUUCUUCUGGACAUAAUCUGUCAGUUUAUUCAUUCUCACAUGUACACAAGGCCAAUGCGAUGCAAUGAUAUUGAUAAUUGAUAAAUAUCUGUGAUGAUUAUUCUGUAUCUUAUUUGAUUUUGAAAUAGUACUACUUUAGAUAACAUGUCUACAUUUUACAUACAUAAGUGAUACACAAGCCUAAUGCGAUGUUUUUA